rnacentral:rRNA from 1 species
GAUGAACGCUGGCGGCGUGCCUAACACAUGCAAGUCGAGCGGACGGACGAGACGCUUGCUUCUCUGACGUUAGGGGAGGACGGGUGAGUCACACGUGGAUAACCUACCUAUAAGACUGAGAUCACUUCGGGAAACCGGAUCUAACCCCGGAUGAUAUUUUGAACCGCAUGGGUCGAAAGUGAAAGACGGUCUUGCUGGCACUUAUAGAUGGUUCCGCGCUGCAUUAGCUAGUUGGUAAGGUAACGGCUUACCAAGGCAACGAUGCAUAGCCGACCUGCGAGGGUGAUAGGCCACAUGGGAACGUGGACACGGUCAAGACGCCUACGGGAGGCAGCAGUAGGGAAUCGGCGGCAAUGGGCGAAAGUCUGACGGAGCAACGGCGCGUGUGUGACGAAGGUGUUCGGAGCGUAAAGCUCUGUUAUGAGGGAAGAACAGAUGUGUAAGGAGCUGUGCAGUGCGUGACGGUACUGAGUCAGAAAGCCACGGCUAACUACGUG